rnacentral:rRNA from 1 species
AGUGAACGCUGGCGGUAGGCCUAACACAUGCAAGUCGAACGGCAGCACAGUAAGAGCUUGCUCUUACGGGUGGCGAGUGGCGGACGGGUGAGGAAUACAUCGGAAUCUACUUUUUCGUGGGGGAUAACGUAGGGAAACUUACGCUAAUACCGCAUACGACCUACGGGUGAAAGCAGGGGAUCUUCGGACCUUGCGCGAUUGAAUGAGCCGAUGUCGGAUUAGCUAGUUGGCGGGGUAAAGGCCCACCAAGGCGACGAUCCGUAGCUGGUCUGAGAGGAUGAUCAGCCACACUGGAACUGAGACACGGUCCAGACUCCUACGGGAGGCAGCAGUGGGGAAUAUUGGACAAUGGGCGCAAGCCUGAUCCAGCCAUACCGCGUGGGUGAAGGAGGCCUUCGGGUUGUAAAGCCCUUUUGUUGGGAAAGAAAAGCAGCAGGUUAAUACCCCGCUGUUCUGACGGUACCCAAAGAAUAAGCACCGUCUAACUUCGUG